GAUGAAGAACGUAGCGAAAUGCGAUAAGUAAUGUGAAUUGCAGAAUUCAGUGAAUCAUCGAAUCUUUGAACGCACAUUGCGCCCGCCAGUAUUCUGGCGGGCAUGCCUGUUCGAGCGUCAUUUCAACCAUCAAGCCCCCGGCUUGUGUUGGGGACCUGCGGCUGCCGCAGGCCCUGAAAAGCAGUGGCGGGCUCGCUGUCACACCGAGCGUAGUAGCAUACAGCUCGCUCUGGGCGUGCUGCGGGUUCCGGCCGUUAAACCACCUUCAUAACCCAAGGUUGACCUCGGAUCAGGUAGGAAGACUCGCUGAACUUAAGCAUAUCAAUAAGCGGAGGA
rnacentral:misc_RNA from 1 species